rnacentral:lncRNA from 1 species
AACAAGGCCUAAACACGUUUCUCAGUAGAAGUCGCUGCAGGGGAUGGAGAACAUGCAUGUGUGCGUAGUUGGUGAAAAUUGGCAGAGAGACAGAGCAACAAGUGAUGGUGUAUUUCAUCAGGCGAAAUAGUGUGGCAAUUAUUCAUUCUGUCUGGCCUCACGAAUGGCACUGUGCUUCGGUCAAACGAAACAUUCCUAUAUUGUAACACCCAAAAAUGUGAAUUUCAAUUAAUAGGAAUUAAUUUGAUUUAUUUAAGAGUUUGUGUGAGCAUUUGAAUCUAGCAAAAUAAAUAGUUUUGUGCAAAUAAAAAUUAUCAUAAGUUUAGAAACGUGAGUUUUGCAUUCACGCUGGAGCAUAAUUAUUUUGUAUUGUAUGUUCUGUUUUAUUGUGAUUAUUUUGUUUCAAAGUUCUUUGGAAAAAGGAAUUGAAAAAAAAAUAAAAAAAAAGGGAAAACUCCCUGGAAGACCAGGCCCCGGCCUGCCCCUUUCCCCCCUCUCAUGGCCGGGCGCGGCCCA